GACGGAGGGGGCAAGCGUUGUUCGGAAUUACUGGGCGUAAAGGGCGCGCAGGCGGUCAUGCAAGUCGGGGGUGAAAGCCCACGGCUUAACCGUGGAAUUGCCUUCGAAACUGCAUGACUUGAGUACGGAAGAGGAGAGCGGAAUUCCCAGUGUAGCGGUGAAAUGCGUAGAUAUUGGGAGGAACACCAGUGGCGAAGGCGGCUCUCUGGUCCGAUACUGACGAUGAGGCGCGAAAGCCAGGGGAGCAAACGGG
rnacentral:rRNA from 1 species